GGAUGAAUAGGCACAGACUAUUGUGUACAGUUCUUUUGCUUUAUAACGGAUCUCCAAAAUCUCGUAGUUAGAACAUGUGGUCCUUAACUACAUCAGG